GAAAUCGCUGCCGCCAGGGAGGGAACAGGGCUUCGGAGUACGUAAAGUGUAUUUUCAUCUCAGUCGCGUUUCCGGGCCGAAAAGAAGUGAUUUGGGAUGGUAGUGAGUCACCAAGCAGCAAACAAUGCAUUGCUCUCAACUGCCCUUCUACCUCCAAGCUUCUAAAAUGAGUGUUUUGGUGUCAUAAACUGUGUUGAGGCUGUAGCCAUGCAGAAGUGAUGUGUGUCUUCCAUAUCCUUUUGGGAGUGAAGACAUCCCGUUAAUGAACCAGGAUGGAUGUGUUUCUGUGGGACUGGUUUGGUGGACUGGAGAAAAGGAAUAAUUGCACGUGGUGUAGCCAUCUGUUCCUGCAUCAGAAGCAGUAUCCCCUGAUUUUGGAUAAUGCCUUCAUAGGUGGUUUGAGAGCAGUGGAUUGAGGAAAAUGCAUGAAAAGUGUUUGUGUCCUCCCUUUCUUGGGCAGACUUGAUUCAUUUACAGGGCGCUGCAUCACAUGGGUUGUUACUUUUCCUCAGUGAUACUAUUAAUUAUCAAAACAGGCAUAGGAUAGAAUGCACCUUCUAGGGGCACAGACUUAGUGCUUUGCCUUUUUGAUUAUACUUCUGUAAGUAAACACAGUAGGUGCUGUUCUUACACCUUUUCCUCUGUGAUUAGCUUUGAGGACUGUUUUGGUGUAUGUAUGUGUACCCUGUAUGUCUCUCUGUUUCUUUGUGGUUGUAAUUUUCCCGUUAGUGCUGGAGGUUCCUAAAUUGUGUCUGCUACUCCUUCCUCAGGCAGGCCUGACCGGCUUUGUACAGGAAGAGUUCCUGGAAAUCUACACUAGCUUCUCUGAGCAAAAGUGCCUGGGAGUUCUCCAAGGUUUUAACCUUGGGAGGAUUACAUGAUUUAAUGGCUACUCAUGAAGAAGCUGGUUAGAGUGUUUAAAAGCUGAUCACUUUCCUAGAAUACCCAGCUAAUUGUAUUAGCUGAAAGAAGCAUGAAGUGUUCCCUGCACCUUCAAAAGAGUGGAUCAGGGAUCCAUCUGCCUUUGAUGUUACCUAACUUUGGGAAUCUUGGUGUUUGGUAUUUUUUGUAUCUUCCAUUCACACAUUGAAGUAUAAUAUAAAAAUUGGAACAUUCUUUUCAUGCCUCUGAAGUAAUGUGAAUAAAUAAGUAAUUAAUUCAGAA
rnacentral:lncRNA from 1 species